rnacentral:rRNA from 1 species
GACGAACCGUCCAAACGUUGUUCGGAAUCACUGGGCUUAAAGGGCGCGUAGGCGGAUGCUCAAGUCGGUGGUGAAAUCUUUCGGCUCAACCGGAAAAGUGCCGCCGAUACUGGGGAUCUCGAGGGAGGUAGGGGUCGAGGGAACUUCCGGUGGAGCGGUGAAAUGCGUAGAUAUCGGAAGGAACGCCGGUGGCGAAAGCGCUCGACUGGACCUCUGCUGACGCUGAGGCGCGAAAGCCAGGGGAGCAAACGGG